rnacentral:lncRNA from 1 species
AUUGUUAUCACAACGAGGUCUCUUAGAUUUACUAUAUGGUAUGUGCUUUGAUAAAUGACGAAAAUUGUAAUUUGGCCUUGUUUUUUGGCUUAUUGCGAAAAGUAGUUCCAUUGCUAAUUUAUACCUCAUCUUCUACUUUUCUUUAAAUAAAAGACUAUAAUGAUUGUUAUACCAUAACUUGUUGAAAGAAAAUUAUUCAACGGAUUUACACAUUGAGUUAGAUUGCAUGUAAUCCAGGAUAAUCACAAUCUUUGUGAAGUGUCAAAAC